CAGAAACGUACUUCGAAAUUCUGGUUAGUGUAGCCGGUCAACUGUUGCAGGAACAAGACGGUGAGAGGCAAUCUUCGAAGUUCAGCCUUUCUGAUCAGGGAACUUGUGAUGAGAAAAACUUUAUCAAUUACCGCCGAAUCUAUGCAUUGAACAAGUUUUCCUGUGCUCUGUACCGGUUUAAUUCGAAAACCUGUUCAAAUUUAAAGAGCUUUGAUCAGUUGGCUAAUGUCAGUGGUAGAAAUGUAAAACCCUUCUGCUUUAGUAGGCAUUCCUUCUCUAGUAUCUCCGGAAUUUUUCAAAGCGAAAGUAGAGGAAGCUGGAGGUGAGCAUUCAAUUAUUCAAACUGUAAAAAGUGAAACUAUUCCACGUACAGGUGGUUUGGAUGUGUCGGAAAGGGACCACAAACAUCCUGGUUUUUUCUAUUCAGUAAGCAGGGCAUCCAUGUUCAAGAACUGGAUAACUUUUGGUUCUUCUAGGCAUUCCGGUACUACAGAGACAUUCAAUAGAGAUGAUGAAAAGAUUAUUUCGGUUGCAGUCAGGCAGCGACCACAUUGAAGGCUUUUAGGGUACCAUCGAGCAUUGCGGAUCGAGGAAUUAAGAACCUGUCUUCAUCCCGACAUCGGAUAGUAUUUACUAAUUCAAAUGGUGGGGCUUCCAUCAGAAAUUAUGGGAAAAGAAGAAUGCUUUCCGGUGAUGGGGGAAUUAGUUAUAUUCGUCAAAGAUCAAAGAGGGUCUCUCCUUUCAAGAGAAGAUGUUUCUUCAGUCACCGCCCAUUCUCAUCGAGGCUUUCAGCUUUAUAACAGAUUCGAUUCGGGUAACAAGAGAAGCGGUGGUGACAACUCUAGUGCAGGUUCAAUAUGUCUACCAGCUUUUGUUUUUUGUUCAGUUUUUGCUGAAUAACCCGAACUCUUACGUGCAGCCAUUAGAGUGGAAUCGUCAAUUGCAAGUCUUCGUCUGCUUCUUGGUUGCCGAUAACGUAAUGGUAUGAAGAUCGUUAAUGCAAUGUUUUAGUAUCUGAUCAGAUGGCCGUGUGAUCCAUCCAGUCUUUAACCUUUCUUUCUUUUCGUUGUCGGGUUUAUUCAGUGAAGAUUCGGAUUAAAUCGUUUUACAGUUCCAGAGCUCUUAGUUUAGAUUCCUACAACUGCUACUGUUGGUUCACUGAAAGACAGUCAUGGAGGCAGUAACUACUGUACCUCGGAGAUGGCUUAAGUGUCGGCAUCCUUCUUCGAGGAAAGAAGGUUAGAGACGACAGAAAAACUCUACUACAGACAGGUAUUUCUCGAGACAGCAAGCAUCGUAAUUUGGGGUUUAUGUUGGAGCCCAGAAACAUGCAGAUUAUAGCACCUCUGUCCCUCGCAAAGCAGAUUAUACCUCCUGUGACUGGUUGCAACAAUGGCGCUGAAGGUGACUUGCAUCUAAUUCCGUCUCUUCCGCACAUAUCAACUAAUUUUACUAUUCCGAGUUCUCAAUCUGUUCCGCACAUAUCAACUAAUUUUACCAUUCCGAGUUAUCAAUCUAUACUAUCGAUAUCGGCCAUAUAGACUAUUUUACUAUUCCGAGUUCUCAAUCUAUUCCGCACAUAUCAACUAGUUUUACUAGUCCGAGUUCUCAAUCUGUACUAUCAAUAUCGGCCAUUAGUGUGGAGGCAUUGACUGUGGUUCCGAUUCAUCACAGAGUUAGACAUCAUGAGUUUGUCCAGCGGCUUAUCAGAAGACCCUUAUCUGUUUCGGAAGUAGAAGCAUUGGUCCAGGCAGUCGAGAAACUAGGAACCGGAAGGUGGCGUGAUGUCAAAUUACGCGCUUUUGACAAUGCAAAGCAUCGUACGUAUGUGGAUUUGAAGGUGAAUGGUCCAUUUCUGUUACUUCUUCAGUUUGCGGGUUCAUUAUUGCAAUUCCCUACCAACUGUCAUGGCUCUGAAUAUCUUUAGAACAGCAAUUUGUUUUU